ACUCAGGACAAUGCCCCCCACAGCCAUCUUGUGCCUGUUGCCACUGCCCUGAAGCAGCUGAUGUGAGGAGACCCCAUUUCUGCACUCCGUAGUGGUGGUCGUAUGCUGACUGACUUCCUCCAGGCUCCUGUGAUGGCUCCCUGGUCUCCCUUCAGCCUCCACCUUCUGCUGCUGUUCCUGCUGUUGCUGCCCUUGACCAGGGCCCAUCGCUUCUCUGUUCCGAACGCCAGCUUCAACCACCUGGUGCUGG
rnacentral:lncRNA from 1 species